UACUAGAGUAGCACUCGCAUAUCAAUAAGCGGAGGAAAAGAAACUAACAAGGAUUCCCCCAGUAACGGCGAGUGAAGCGGGAAGAGCUCAAAUUUGAAAUCUUAAAGGGUUUCCCUUUACGAAUUGUAGUUUAAAGAAGUGUUUUCUGUUGAGGUUUUGGUAAAAGUUCUUUGGAAUAGGACAUCAUAGAGGGUGAGAAUCCCGUAUUUGACCUUCACUUUCAACUUUGUGAUACACUUUCAAAGAGUCGGAUUGUUUGGGAAUGCCGUCCAAAAUGGGUGGUAAAUUUCAUCUAAAGCUAAAUAUUGGCGAGAGACCGAUAGCGAACAAGUACCGUGAGGGAAAGAUGAAAAGAACUUUGAAAAGAGAGUUAAACAGUACGUGAAAUUGUCAAAAGGGAAGCGUUUGACACCAGUGUUGUUUUUCUGAAAAUCAAUUAAAGAACUGUUUAUGCUAAGCUGUUUAGACUUUAUCAGCUAAUCUGUUUAGUUUUGAGCUUUUCUUUAAUGCACUUUUCAGUUAACAAGUCAACAUCAAUUUCUUUUGCUGUAAAAAAGCUUGAGGAAGGGUGGCUUGAGAUUCGUCUUAAGUGUUUAUAGCCUCUUGCCUAUGCAGUCGGAGAGAUUGAGGUCUGCAGCGUAGAUCCUUCGGGGCUAAAUGCAUUUGUGCUAAGUUAUAGCAUUUUAUAGACAACUUGUUGACUAUGAUUUGUCUUGUAGCUUACUCGCUUAUGUUAUUUUACCUACGCUUAGGAUGUUGAGUAGCGACAUACGCAC
rnacentral:rRNA from 1 species